AGAUGGAGUGUUCUAUAAACAGGGACCCUCAUGGCUAGUUGGGUGCUAAGUAUGAGAGCUUUGGCAGCUGUCUGUUUCUUCAAAGCGUGGAAGAUGCUGAACUCUGUGGAAUUGCCUUCAGAAAGCCCAGUGACCAGCAGAGAAGAUGAGUUGUGCUGUUAUCUCAGCAGGGGCAUCAACUGCAUUGCUAUAGAGAUAAUGAAUGUGUCACGAACUGCAGGGCUAAGGCAGAGAACUGUGCUCCUCUGCCAUUUGAAAGGGGAGGAGUGAGUGGAAGACUGUGUGGUGCUUUGCC